rnacentral:rRNA from 1 species
AUUGAACGCUGGCGGCAGGCCUGACACAUGCAAGUCGAGCGGAUGAAGGGAGCUUGCUCCUGGAUUCAGCGGCGGACGGGUGAGUAAUGCCUAGGAAUCUGCCUGGUAGUGGGGGAUAACGUCCGGAAACGGGCGCUAAUACCGCAUACGUCCUGAGGGAGAAAGUGGGGGAUCUUCGGACCUCACGCUAUCAGAUGAGCCUAGGUCGGAUUAGCUAGUUGGUGGGGUAAAGGCCUACCAAGGCGACGAUCCGUAACUGGUCUGAGAGGAUGAUCAGUCACACUGGAACUGAGACACGGUCCAGACUCCUACGGGAGGCAGCAGUGGGGAAUAUUGGACAAUGGGCGAAAGCCUGAUCCAGCCAUGCCGCGUGUGUGAAGAAGGUCUUCGGACUGUAAAGCACUUUAAGUUGGGAGGAAGGGCAGUAAGUUAAUACCUUGCUGUUUUGACGUUACCAACAGAAUAAGCACCGGCUAACUUCGUG